UUGUGUAUGUUGUGUUUGUGUGUUAUGUAUAGUGUGUGUGUUGAGUUGUGUGUUGUGUAUGUUAUGUGUGUGUGUAGUGUGUAUUGUUAUGAGUUUUGAGUGUAUGUGUGUGUUGUAUAUGUUAUGUGUGUGUUAUUUGUGUACUGUGUGUGUUAUGUGUGUAGUGUGUGUGUUAUGUGUUAUGUGUUAUGUGUGUAUGUGUGUGUGGUGUAUUAUAAG
rnacentral:lncRNA from 1 species